rnacentral:lncRNA from 1 species
CACCCUGACACCUCUAAUUAGGGCCUGAAUUUCAGGUUAUGACCCCUUAUGACCUUCGGCAAUAUCACAUGCAAUAUGGCGUCGAUGCAACGCGAUAAAAAAAGUUAAAAAUUGAUCCAAAUGCGCUUUGUUCACAUGUCAGCGAUUCGCUUUAUGAAGCAAAUUGUUUAAAAAACAAAAUUGCUGAAAUCUCGUCCAUAAAUGUGGGAAUGACAGCUGACAGUCAGUUGGUUGAAGUCUUUUUGAUUUGCCGGUUUGGGCUUUAUAAAAUCGCCGUGGCUAUUCGUACUGGAACAGUACGCCGAGUUUGAUUUGCUAUUCGUACUGCAGUCGUAAUAUUUAAGAUAAACCUGACCCCAACCCCUUCCCUAACCCUAACCCUAACCAAUAAAGGUCUAAUAAACUAUUUGAGAGUUAAAAAAGUAGGGGGAAAAAAAUUAAAAAUAUUUUAAGAAAAAUUUCUAAGUCAACAGGAAACCGACGGCAAAAACUAAACCCGG